AUGUCGGCAAGCCCCCCAGUGGACCCUGCAGCUCCUCGAGCCAGCCUGCUGGCCUCUGGGCUGGUGGCUGCCCAUGCUCCACAGCCUUCUAUGGCUGCCCAGUACCUAGAGGAGAAUGGUCUGCAUGUGUCCCUGCUCCUGCACCUGUUAGCACAGACCCGGAGAAUGCGUCGCUCCCACAUUCCCGGCUGCUCUGGCCUCCCCUUGGCGUCGUUGUGUUCAGCUGCUCCUGGACAGCCCCCCUCUGCCUCCUCUGAAGGGCCCUGCACUGGGCCCCCCACUGCCCCCAGGGUCCCCCAGGACUCCUUCCCUCCCCUCCCCAUUCUGCCUCCUGAACACCCCUGCAGUCCCCUCCCUCACCUGGCCCCAGGGCGGCCACCUUCCCUGUCUCUGCCCCAUGUGGCCCUGGAUUCUGCAUCACCCGUCUUCCACCCACUUCCCACCCUGGGCCUCCACCCAGCUCUGGGGCCCAGCUCACCCAGCCUCACCCCUGCAGCCUCUCCCAGGCUUCUGGCAGCAGCCACUCCCCCCUCCCUCCCAGGCCUUUCCCAGAGCUGCCCCAGGCCGUUCCUGCCCCCCAAAACCCCACCCCCGGGUGCCCCUGCAGCCCCCUCCCUGAAAGAUCUCAGUCCCCAACUCAGCCCAGGGUGGGGCUCCCAGCUUCCUUCUCUCUGGAGGCGGGCCCUGGGGGGCGGGGAGGGAACAGGAGGGAGUGGGGGGAGAGCUCUGGAAGGAGUGGUCAGAGGCCAGUGGCUGUGGGGGCAAGAGGGGAGAUGCUUACCAGGAAGCCAUGGCUUUGGGGAGCAGCUGGGGGGUGGGCCGGGAGGGGCGGGCAGGGCUCCCAUCUUGGGGACAGAGGUGGGGGCCCACCAUAAGCCAGCUCGGCCCAGGAGGUUCCAGCCACAGAUGGCCUUCCCGGGGAGCCGCCGAAAUUUUGUUGUCUCUUGCGCCCCCGUGAGGUCAGUGGACAUCAUGACAUCCACGUUGGCCACUGAGGUGGGGCUUUUGGGGGGGUGUGGGCGGCAAGCAACCCCAGCCCCCUCCCCCCACCAAGCUGGGCCCCUCCUCUGGUCCCUCUGCCCGGGGUGUCUAGGGGCCAGGAGAGACCCUGCAUCCUCUCCCUUCCCUGAGACCAGGACCCUCAUCCCAGCAGACGCAGGCCCCUCGGCUCCCAGCCUGGAGGACCUGCUGGUCAGGCCCAAGGGGACCCCCAAAUCUGGUCUCAGCAGAACCCCGACUCCAGCCACAGGCUGA
rnacentral:lncRNA from 1 species